GUCUGUUAAUGACAGAAAAAUGAAAAUAUUGUGAGAGGUUAAAGGGCUAAAUUUCCCCAUACCAUUACAGCUACAUCAGCUCCUGUUUUAUGGGCCACUUACUGAUGCUUGCCUGCUUUCUCUAAAAUUAUUAAUAAUCUUUUAGAUAUGAAAUCUGAAGGCCUUCUUGAAAUCAUCAUUCUCCUUGGCCUCUGGGUAGAAUUUGACACUUUGCUUCUUUUGCCUCCUGAAAACUUUUUUCUUUCUUGGUUUUUGUGACAUUACUUUAUGCUGGUUCUCCUCUUGCCUGUCUAACCACUCCUCAAUCUCUUGUGCUGAAUCAUCUUACAUGUUCCAUGCCCAAGAAUUACAUAGAUGACUGACCUGGGAGAGAUAAUGUGCUUACAAGUGGACAUUUUUUUAAAGAUGAAAUUGAUCCCAAAGAGAUUUAAUGAAUAAGUUGGCCAAAGUCACACAGGGAAAGAAACAGAUACAAAAGAGGAAGAGGAAGAACUGCAAACCAGAUAACGACGGACAGAAAAAAAAAGAAAAAACUAAAUGUCGAAAAACUCCAAAAUACAGCCGGAAAAAAACAACGCGUUUUCUCUUAAAUUGAAUAAGGUCGUUUAGAUCCUGUUUCCUUCGAGUGUCAGGAUGGCCGAGUGGUCUAAGGCGCCAGACUCAAGGUUCUACCUUCCUCGCUGAGUGUUCUGGUCUCCGUAUGGAGGCGUGGGUUCAAAUCCCACUUCUGACACACUGAUUUUCUUCCUUUGACUUGAAUCUUUUCUCCCCACUCCCAUCAGUAAUUUGUACAUGCCACGUAC
rnacentral:tRNA from 1 species